CGUAUAAUGGAACUCAAAUACCGGGGACAGAGCUAACUUUUAGGUUAAAUUGGGCAUCAUUUGGGAUUGGAGAGCGUCGUGAUGCUGGGCCAGAGCAUUCUAUAUUUGUUGGAGAUCUAGCUCCUGAUGUAACAGAUUAUCUAUUGCAAGAGACUUUUCGUACUCACUACCCGUCAGUUAGAGGAGCGAAGGUUGUUACUGAUCCGAAUACUGGCCGCACAAAGGGAUAUGGUUUUGUUAAAUUUGCUGAUGAGACAGAACGAAACCGUGCCAUGUCGGAAAUGAAUGGGAUGUAUUGCUCAACUAGGCCGAUGCGCAUCAGUGCAGCAACACCAAAAAAGUCGAAUACUAUCCAACAACAAUAUGCAGUAGCAAAAGUAUAUCCCCCUGCCGUUUAUACUCCAACAGUGCAGACUAUCCCUGUAGAUAAUGACUUGACUAAUACAACAGUUUAUGUUGGUAAUCUGGAUCCUAACUUAACUGAAGAGGAACUGAGACAAGUAUUUUUGCAAUUUGGUGAAAUUGUUUAUGUUAAGAUUCCUGCUGCCAAGGGCUGUGGUUUUGUGCAGUUUUCGGCGAGGCCAUCUGCUGAAGAAGCAAUCCAGAGAAUGCAGGGUGCUGUGGUUGGUCAACAAAUUGUUCGUGUUUCAUGGGGUAGGAGUCCGACAGCUAAGCAGGACGCUGGUCUAUGGGGUCAGCCUGCUGAUCCGAGUCAAUG
rnacentral:misc_RNA from 1 species